rnacentral:misc_RNA from 1 species
GAUGAAGAACGUAGUGAAAUGCGAUAAGUAAUGUGAAUUGCAGAAUUCAGUGAAUCAUCGAAUCUUUGAACGCACAUUGCGCCCGCCAGUAUUCUGGCGGGCAUGCCUGUUCGAGCGUCAUUUCAACCCUCAGGCCCCCAGUGCCUGGUGUUGGGGAUCGGCCCAGCCUUCCUGUAAGGCCGCCGGCCCCGAAAUCUAGUGGCGGUCUCGCUGUAGUCCUCCUCUGCGUAGUAGCACAACCUCGCAGUUGGAACGCGGCGGUGGCCAUGCCGUUAAACACCCCACUUCUGAAAGUUGACCUCGGAUCAGGUAGGAAUACCCGCUGAACUUAAGCAUAUAAUAAGCGGAGGA